UACGUAGGGUGCGAGCGUUGUCCGGAAUUAUUGGGCGUAAAGAGCUCGUAGGCGGUGUGUCACGUCGGCCGUGAAAACCUGGGGCUUAACUCUGGGCGUGCGGUCGAUACGGGCAUCACUAGAGUUCGGCAGGGGAGACUGGAAUUCCUGGUGUAGCGGUGAAAUGCGCAGAUAUCAGGAGGAACACCGGUGGCGAAGGCGGGUCUCUGGGCAUUUCCUGACGCUGAGGCGCGAAAGCGUGGGGAGCAAACAGG
rnacentral:rRNA from 1 species